UACGUAGGGUGCGAGCGUUAAUCGGAAUUACUGGGCGUAAAGCGUGCGCAGGCGGCUAUGCAAGACAGAUGUGAAAUCCCCGGGCUUAACCUGGGAACUGCAUUUGUGACUGCAUUGCUGGAGUGCGGCAGAGGGGGAUGGAAUUCCGCGUGUAGCAGUGAAAUGCGUAGAUAUGCGGAGGAACACCGAUGGCGAAGGCAAUCCCCUGGGCCUGCACUGACGCUCAUGCACGAAAGCGUGGGGAGCAAACAGG
rnacentral:rRNA from 1 species